rnacentral:rRNA from 1 species
UACGGAGGGUGCGAGCGUUGUCCGGAAUCACUGGGCGUAAAGGGCGCGUAGGCGGCCUGGUAAGUAGGGGGUGAAAUCCUGCGGCUUAACCGCAGGGCUGCCUUCUAAACUGUCAGGCUCGAGCACAGUAGAGGCAGGUGGAAUUCCCGGUGUAGCGGUGGAAUGCGUAGAGAUCGGGAAGAACAUCAGUGGCGAAGGCGGCGAUCUGGGUCGAUACUGACGCUGAGGUGCGAAAGCGUGGGGAGCAAACAGG